GGGUGGAGGGCAGGCCGGCGCCUGGGGCGAGGGAGAAGACGCUCAGGGCUCAAAGGACUUGCGACAGCAGCCUCUAGCCCGGCUCGCUGCCCGGAGGCCGGGAUUCACCUGCGGAGCCAGACCUGCCCCGGGGCCACUGACUGGCUGCCAGACGGCGAGAGGGACGUCACCCCCAACCUCCGCAAUCUGAUGUUAAUUUCUGUUCUCACCAUGUAACACCGACCUGGCAAGAACUCCAUGUGUAGAGCAGGAUGGCCUUGAAUUCACCAGAGUUCUGUCUGCUUGUUUCUACCUCCAGACUGCUGAGAUUAAAAGUGUGCACCACCAUGUGGUACAGGACCCAAAAUUAAUAUUCUUUUCACCACUAAAAAUAUAAAACACUAAAGAGAUUAACCCUUUGUUCAGAUGCGAGAAUAUCUAGGCUGGAAACUGGCUCCACCAAUUUAUUAGCUAUAGUUGCCCAAGUAGAGGGAACCUCUCAAGGGCCACGGUUCCUCAUUCCCUUCUUCUUUAUGAGGGUUAACUAAAUGAAUAUUCAAUUGUUACAGGGCCUCUUUCCAUCCUAGAAGAACCCAUACAGUGCUUUUGGACCUUGUCCUUUUCAAGAAAACGAAGCCCACAAUUACUGCCUGAAUUCAGAAGACAUCUAAAGAUCUACAAAGGAAAGCUGACAAUGCUCCUUUCCUAGAGAUUCUUCAGCAAGGAUGGUCAAAACAAGACCUUUACUUAGGACCAGAAUGUCUGUUAUCUUGAGUUCAGUCAAAGUAGAACUCCUCUCUCAACUCUAAGCCCAAAUAAUGCGCGAGAGCACA